AGGCAGCACCGGAAGAGUUAAUGUCCCCUGACCCCGGCCCGCUCCUUCCUCCCCCGACCGUUGGCCCUGAGAACACGGGGUGGGGGUGGGGGAAUCUGAACGGCUCGCGACCCUGAGCGUGCUCCAGGAGCCGCCGUUUCCCGGCUUGCGGGAGAGUCCUUAUUGUGAGCGCGUGAGGCCCCGAUCCGGCCGCCCACGCGGAGGCACGUGCUCAGCUGAGGGGGCCCCCCUGAAAACGAUCAAAGUGAAUCCGGGCACCUGCCCUGAAGCGUUUGCAGGGUCUGGAGGAAAGACAUUCCCCGCCCCUCAGUGCUCAGUGGUGUAGGUCGUGGCCUGGAAAGGCCAACGCAGAAGAGGCCCGGAGGAGGAGGAUCACUUGGAUGUCUGUGUUUGUUUUUUAAUGCCAGCAAGAGGAUGUGACUAAUUGAAGGCCUGGCUGCUGGCUCGCCCACGUUUGGCUUCACAGAAGAACUGUGUUUUCAGCAGUGACUUCAAGAAGAUGAGGGUGGAAGUGUGACAAACAGGUUUUCCAAGCAUAACAGGCUGCUUGGAAGAAAGCAUGGAGAUGCCUGUGAGAGAAUGGUGUUGGCAGAGCAGAGGGGAAGAAGGGAAAGGCAGAAGGAGACCAGCUUAGAGAUAUUUGCAGAGGCUGCAUAAGCCAGAAGAUAGCAAUAAUGAGCAUAGAAGGAAGAGCUCUUCUUGAUAUGUAUUCCAUCGUAGUGAUACCUAAAAAAAUACAAAAUGUGAUGGACUGACAAGUAUACAGUUUGCAGGACCAAAUCAUCACUGAACUCACAUCUAUAUUCUGCAAGCAGCUCGUAAUUCUUUUGAAAUAAGAAAACAAUAGAUGGAAACCUGUAUUUAUUUUAAAAAUUGUUUAAAUCUUAUUUAAAUCUAAUAUUUGAUAAGCACAUAAUUUUGACAAACUUUUUUUUUAAAUAACUUUACAAUCACUUUUUAAAACAGCGUUGUAAUUUAAUAAUAAAAUGUUUGUUUGUUUUUUAAAAACUAUCAACCCUAGAGCAGUGUGGGGAGUGCAGUCAACCAAUGCAGCAGAAGCACAGAGUCUAGGGCAGGAUCCUCAUUGAAGUCAAAGGAGCUACUUCAGUGGAGUUACACUAAUUUAUACCAACUGAGGAUCUGGCCUCUGUUCUCCAGCCAUGGCAGAUUAAAACCACUUCCAGUUAAGGAUACCACUUGUCCAGUUGCUACCUGAGGAAUUCAAUCUCUUGUUUUUUGAAAUCCCGCACUGAGCACUGGCACUUCUUGUUGAUACUGGGGUGGUGUGGAACCACUGUUCCCACUGCUGUCAUGCCACUGUACAGCUUCUGAAGUGCUAUUUCCUCACUGGCUUUUUGCCUGAUACAUAUUGGACAGUAAACAAUACUUAGUGGGCCCAAUUCUGAGCAUAAAAACAACGAGGAGUCUGGUGGCACCUUAAAGACUAACAGAUUUAUUUGGGCAUAAGCUUUCGUGGGUAAAAAACCCUCUUCUUCAGAUGCAUGGAGUGAAAAUUACAGAUGCAGGCAUUGUUAGUGUUUGUUCAUGGCCAGUUUGUUCUAAUGCCAACAUUGUCCUUUAGCUUAAAUAGCUUUUCACCCUCCCUAAUAUUUAAUCCCCAGAUGUAUUUAUAGAGAGCAAUCAUAUCUUCUCUCAGCCUUCUUUUUGCUAAACAAGCUGAGCUCAUCCAGUCUACUCUCAUAAAAUAGAUCCUCCAUUCCCCUAUCAUCCUAGUAGCUCUUCUCUGCACCUGUUCCAGAUUAAAUUAAUCUUUCUUGGACAUGAGUGACCAGAAUUGUACACAAUAUUCCAAGUGAGGUCUUACCAGCACCUUGUGCAAUGGCAUUAAUACUUCUCUAUCUCUACUGGAAAGGCCUUGCCUAAUUCAUCCUAGGAUCAUAUUUUCCAUUUGCCUUUUUUACAGCUGCAUGACAUUGGUGGCUCAUUGUCAUCCUGUGGUCAACCCACAGACCCAGGUCUUUCUCUUCCUCUGUUGAUUCCAACUAAAAGCUCCCAUCUUAUAGCAGAAAUUCUUAUUAUUAAACCUUAAGUGUAUGCACUUGGUACUAUUGAAUUUCAUCCCAUUUCUGUUAUUUGAGUCUUCAAGAUCAUCUAGAUUUUCCUGUAUGUUCCAAUCCUCCUGUGUAUUGAUGCUGCCUCCCAACUUAGUAUAAUCAGCAAAUUUCACUAGCACACUCCUACUUUUCGUAUUUAAUAAAAAUAUUGGAUAAGAUUGGUUCCAAGACUGAUCCUUGAGGAACUCCAUGAGUAAUUUCCCUCCAGUCCAAUAAUUCACCUUUCAGCACAACGCAAUGCCAUCUCCAGUUUAGCCAAUUCCUUAUCCACCUUACUAUGUUUGUACUGAGCCGCAUCAUCCCUAAUUUAACUAAUAAUUUAGACCUGCUGCAUUUUUCCUCCCCCCCCCCCCUUAAAAAAUACAUUAUUUUCUCAAAGAAGGAAAUCAGGUUACUCUGGCAUGAUCUUUCUUUGAUAAAUCCAUGUUGCAUUGUACUCCCUUUACCAUUUACCUCUAUGAAUUUCAUUAUUCUUUCCUUCACAAUUUGUUCUAAAAUCUUGCAUACCAAUAACGUCAGACAAAAAUUGCCCAGAUCACAUUUUUUCUCCUUUAUUAAAAAUAGGUAUGAUGUUAGCUAUUCUCUAGUCAUAUGGUACUACCCCCAAAUAGAUAGAUUUAUUAAAAAUCCUUGGUGCAAUAAUAGUAAUCCUCUGUGCCAGUUCCUUCAAUAUUCUGUGGCAGAAAUUAUCCGGUCCCCCCGAUUUGAGUGCAUGGCAUAAACCCAGUGUAGGCAGUUUGUGUACCAGCCACCCCUAAUCCCAGGUAUGGGGAUGUGUCAGACUGGGUGUGUAGGUGUAUUUCAGAGCUUCACUGAGCUGAUCCUAUGCUGGUGUAAAGGACCUAGUUUUCUCUAGCAUCAACCAUGUGUAUCAGUCAAAAAUCUAAUGUGAGAAUGGCACCGCAAUAAUUGAAAGUGAUGGGGCCAGGCUGAUGCAGAAGAUUUGUGAGAAGAUCAAAGUAAACAUAUGCAACUCUCAGAAUCAGUAUUUUAAUUGCAGUCCUUUCAUCUUCAUUAAGCAAAACGCUCAUGCAAUUGGCAUACGUGAAGGCCUUAAAAAUCUUUUUUUUCUUCUGUUCAGCGGUUAUGAAUUUGGACAUUAAAUCAAUGGAUUAAAAGUCAAUGGGACUCAAUUCUCUCCAUGCUCUGUACGGGUGUGUGGCAGGGGGAAAUCCAUCAGGGAGCCAGUAACACAGUG